rnacentral:misc_RNA from 1 species
ACAAAUACGACACAGCUGAGGCUCAGUACACUCCUUAUCAUGACCUCAGUUCUCCUUUCCUACAACACAUCGCACAACAGCUAUCUGUGCCGACGCUGCUCCUCGUGCAACACGGACAUAACAGAGGACCUCUACUCGCGACAUAAGGUCCGAUGUGUGUAUGAGGAGUUCAUGCGCGAGAAGGCCAAGAAAGAGGCUCUGCGACACGCCAUUAAGAAAAAUCAAUGAGCAAGUGUCACACGUUUCACAUGACAACACUGCAGCAUCUGAGCUCACACGUUCAGACUGAGCUACAGAUGCACAUACACACACACACACACACACACACACAUACAUAUUGUACGAUAUGGGGUGCAGUUGUACGAUACAUACUUGUAACCCCGUAUUACUGUACCAAACACUGGUGGAAUACCACCCCCGAGCUGGUCUCGUUAUUUAUUUAUUGAAUGAAUGGAGUUUAUGAUGCACCUAAUUAC